rnacentral:rRNA from 1 species
UCGAGAAUUUUUCACAAUGGGCGAAAGCCUGAUGGAGCGACGCCGCGUGGGGGAUGAAUGGCUUCGGCCCGUAAACCCCUGUCAUUUGCGAGCAAAGCCGCCGUUCUAACAAAGCGGCGGACUGAUAGUAGCGAAAGAGGAAGGGACGGCUAACUCUGUGCCAGCAGCCGCGGUAAUACAGAGGUCCCAAGCGUUGUUCGGAUUUACUGGGCGUAAAGGGUGCGUAGGUGGCAGGGUAAGUUCGGUGUGAAAGCUUCGAGCUCAACUCGGAAACGGCAUUGAAAACUAUCCUGCUCGAGGGUCGGAGGGGAGACUGGAAUUCUCGGUGUAGCAGUGAAAUGCGUAGAUAUCGAGAGGAACACCAGUGGCGAAGGCGGGUCUCUGGACGAUUCCUGACACUGAGGCACGAAAGCUAGGGGAGCAAACAGG